rnacentral:rRNA from 1 species
AGUGGCGCACGGGUGCGUAACGCGUAUGCAACCUACCCUUUAACUGGAGGAUAGCCCGAAGAAAUUCGGAUUAAUACUCCAUAGUAUCACCAGAUGGCAUCUGAAGGUGAUUAAAGAUUUAUUGGUUAAGGAUGGGCAUGCGUGACAUUAGCUAGUUGGUGAGGUAACGGCUCACCAAGGCAACGAUGUCUAGGGGUUCUGAGAGGAUGAUCCCCCACACUGGUACUGAGAUACGGACCAGACUCCUACGGGAGGCAGCAGUAGGGAAUAUUGGUCAAUGGACGAGAGUCUGAACCAGCCAUGCCGCGUGUAGGAAGACGGCCUUCUGGGUUGUAAACUACUUUUAUACAGGAACAAAUAGUCCAUGCGUGGAAAGUUGAGUGUACUGUACGAAUAAGCACCGGCUAACUCCGUGCCAGCAGCCGCGGUAAUACGGAGGGUGCAAGCGUUGUCCGGAUUUAUUGGGUUUAAAGGGUGCGUAGGCGGUCAAUUAAGUCAGUGGUGAAAUCCUAUAGCUUAACUAUAGAACUGCCAUUGAUACUGGUUGACUUGAGUACAGACGAGGUAGGCGGAAUUUAUGGUGUAGCGGUGAAAUGCAUAGAUACCAUAAAGAACACCGAUAGCGAAGGCAGCUUACUGGACUGUAACUGACGCUGAGGCACGAAAGCAUGGGUAGCGAACAGGAUUAGAUACCCUGGUAGUCCAUGCCGUAAACGAUGCUCACUCGAUGUAUG